GACAGAGGGGGCAAGCGUUGCUCGGAAUUACUGGGCGUAAAGCGCACGUAGGCGGACUCUUAAGUCGGUGGUGAAAUCCUGGAGCUCAACUCCAGAACUGCCUCCGAUACUGGGAGUCUUGAGUCCGGGAGAGGUGAGUGGAACUGCGAGUGUAGAGGUGAAAUUCGUAGAUAUUCGCAAGAACACCAGUGGCGAAGGCGGCUCACUGGCCCGGUACUGACGCUGAGGUGCGAAAGCGUGGGGAGCAAACAGG
rnacentral:rRNA from 1 species